rnacentral:rRNA from 1 species
CGUUGGUACAGUAAAUCGUGCACGUGUGAUCGUAGUCCGUAACCCGGGAGCAGGAAGACGUAAUGGGGAACCGGUGAGUGUAAUUCGGAAAACGGAAGCCGUAAACUGGAAUAACUUCGGCAUAAUUUAGCUAAUACCGGAUAAAUUUUGAACCGCAAGGUUCGAAAGUGAAAGACGGUCUUGCUGUCACUUAUUUAUGGAUCCGCGCUGCAUUAGCUAGUUGGUAAGGUAACGGCUUACCAAGGCAACGAUGCAUAGCCGACCUGAGAGGGUGAUCGGCCACACUGGAACUGAGACACGGUCCAGACUCCUACGGGAGGCAACAGUAGGGAAUCUUCCGCAAUGGGCGAAAGCCUGACGGAGCAACGCCGCGUGAGUGAUGAAGGUCUUCUGAUCGUAAAACUCUGUUAUUAGGGAACAACAUAUGUGUAAGUAACUGUGCACAUCUUGACGGUACCUAAUCAGAAAGCCACGGCUAACUACGUGCCAGCAGCCGCGGUAAUACGUAGGUGGCAAGCGUUAUCCGGAAUUAUUGGGCGUAAAGCGCGCGUAUGCGGUUUUUUAAGUCUGAUGUGAAAGCCCACGGCUCAACCGUGGAGGGUCAUUGGAAACUGGAAAACUUGAGUGCACAAGAGGAAAGUGGAAUUCCAUGUGUAGCGGUGAAAUGCGCAGAGAUAUGGAGGAACACCAGUGGCGAAAGCGACUUUCUGGUCUGUAACUGACGCUGAUGUGCGAAAGCGUGGGGAUCAAACAGGAUUAGAUACCCUGGUAGUCCACGCCGUAAACGAUGAGUGCUAAUGUUAGGGGGUUUCCUCCCCCUUACUGCUGCGCUAACGCAUUAAGCACUCCCCCCUGGGGAGUACGACCGCAGGUUGAAACUCAUAGGAAUUGACGGGGGACCCGCCCCAAGCGCGUGGAGCGUGUGGUUUUAUUUCUAAGCAACACGAGAAACCUUACCAAUCCUGACGUCCCGUUGACAACUCUAUAGAUAGAGCAUUCCCCCCUUCGUGGGAACAAAGUGACAAGGUGGUGCAUGGGCUGGUCGUCUGC